rnacentral:lncRNA from 1 species
UAUUUCUCAAUAGAGUUCUAUUGAAAAAGAUUCUUGGUAUUCUUAGAACUCAAUCUCUUCUUCACUCCUCUUGAUAUCGAUCGUUAUCACUCUUGUGAUGAAUCAUGAGAUGAUACGAUUCCAGCAGAACUACCACACACUGGCAUCAGAUAUGAAGCUCUCAGAGGAGACGUCACCAAAAUUCUGCAGGACGGCGACCUAAAUUCUGGAGUUGGGUUAGAAGAUGACCCAGGGGAUUCUAACGGCAGCAAUCCCGGUUCACCAGCAAGACUCCGAUCGAAGAGAGAGACGCGGCGACCCGAUUGGACUAGGGAUUACGAAAUGUGAACUAGCGGAAAUCCCCAAUUUGAGAAUGGGCAAAUUAAUUAGUAGUCCCC